rnacentral:rRNA from 1 species
GACGAACCUUGCUAACGUUAUUCGGAAUUACUGGGCUUAAAGGGUGCGUAGGCGGUGCGGAAAGUUGGGUGUGAAAUCCCUCGGCUCAACCGAGGAAUUGCGCCCAAAACUGCCGCACUAGAGGAAGACAGAGGUACGCGGAACUUAGGGUGGAGCGGUGAAAUGCGUUGAUAUCAUCAGGAACACCUGUGGCGAAAGCGGCUCACUGGGUCUUACCUAACGCUGAGGCACGAAAGCUAGGGGAGCGAACGGG